GCUUCUCUUCUAGAGGUCCUGCAACAACAUGAUAGCUUACAACUAUCUGCCAUGGGAUCCGAUGACCUCUUCUGGCCUGCAGGAACACCAUGAAUCUUGGUAGCUUACGUGAAUAUGCUAUGGAACGACAGACAGCUUGCUCUUAGUACAUCUGGUGCGUUGUGAAGAACAUUGGUAUUAACACUUGAGACUCAGAACAGUGUAUCUGCGAGUCAGUGGAGGAACGGCAUACCAGAU
rnacentral:lncRNA from 1 species